rnacentral:rRNA from 1 species
UUAGCGUCUACCAUGCGAGUCGAGCGGUAGAGAGAAGCUUGCUUCUCUUGAGAGCGGCGGACGGGUGAGUAAUGCCUAGGAAUCUGCCUGGUAGUGGGGGAUAACGUUCGGAAACGGACGCUAAUACCGCAUACGUCCUACGGGAGAAAGCAGGGGACCUUCGGGCCUUGCGCUAUCAGAUGAGCCUAGGUCGGAUUAGCUAGUUGGUGGGGUAAUGGCUCACCAAGGCGACGAUCCGUAACUGGUCUGAGAGGAUGAUCAGUCACACUGGAACUGAGACACGGUCCAGACUCCUACGGGAGGCAGCAGUGGGGAAUAUUGGACAAUGGGCGAAAGCCUGAUCCAGCCAUGCCGCGUGUGUGAAGAAGGUCUUCGGAUUGUAAAGCACUUUAAGUUGGGAGGAAGGGUUGUAGAUUAAUACUCUGCAAUUUUGACGUUACCGACAGAAUAAGCACCGGCUAACUCUGUGCCAGCAGCCGCGGUAAUACAGAGGGUGCAAGCGUUAAUCGGAAUUACUGGGCGUAAAGCGCGCGUAGGUGGUUUGUUAAGUUGGAUGUGAAAUCCCCGGGCUCAACCUGGGAACUGCAUUCAAAACUGACUGACUAGAGUAUGGUAGAGGGUGGUGGAAUUUCCUGUGUAGCGGUGAAAUGCGUAGAUAUAGGAAGGAACACCAGUGGCGAAGGCGACCACCUGGACUAAUACUGACACUGAGGUGCGAAAGCGUGGGGAGCAAACAGGAUUAGAUACCCUGGUAGUCCACGCCGUAAACGAUGUCAACUAGCCGUUGGAAGCCUUGAGCUUUUAGUGGCGCAGCUAACGCAUUAAGUUGACCGCCUGGGGAGUACGGCCGCAAGGUUAAAACUCAAAUGAAUUGACGGGGGCCCGCACAAGCGGUGGAG